UGUGCCCCUCGAGGCGUUGGAGGUGUGGCUGCUGGGUCACGUGUGUGCGUCAGGAGGUGGCAGAGAGGAGAGAGGCUAAGUCUAUGUUCAGUGUUCUGACCUGUGAACAUCUGACAAAAGCGAGCCUGAGACG